GGCGGAUGUAGCCAAGUGGAUUAAGGCAGUGGAUUUGU
rnacentral:tRNA from 1 species